rnacentral:rRNA from 1 species
UGGGGAAUUUUGGACAAUGGGGGAAACCCUGAUCCAGCCAUCCCGCGUGUGCGAUGAAGGCCUUCGGGUUGUAAAGCACUUUUGGCAGGAAAGAAACGUCAUGGGUUAAUACCCCGUGAAACUGACGGUACCUGCAGAAUAAGCACCGGCUAACUACGUGCCAGCAGCCGCGGUAAUUCGUAGGGUGCAAGCGUUAAUCGGAAUUACUGGGCGUAAAGCGUGCGCAGGCGGUUCGGAAAGAAAGAUGUGAAAUCCCAGAGCUCAACUUUGGAACUACAUUUUUAACUACCGGGCUAGAGUGUGUCAGAGGGAGGUGGAAUUCCGCGUGUAGCAGUGAAAUGCGUAGAUAUGCGGAGGAACACCGAUGGCGAAGGCAGCCUCCUGGGAUAACACUGACGCUCAUGCACGAAAGCGUGGGGAGCAAACAGG